UAUAUACAACUUUCAGCAACGGAUCUCUUGGCUCUCGCAUCGAUGAAGAACGCAGCGAAAUGCGAUAAGUAAUGUGAAUUGCAGAAUUCAGUGAAUCAUCGAAUCUUUGAACGCACCUUGCGCUCCUUGGUAUUCCGAGGAGCAUGCCUGUUUGAGU
rnacentral:rRNA from 1 species